GGGGCUGUAGCUCAGUUGGGAGAGCGCUUGAAUGGCAUUCAAGAGGCCGUCAGUUCAAUUCUGACCAGCUCCACCA
rnacentral:tRNA from 1 species